rnacentral:lncRNA from 1 species
AGGAGUUAGAAGUUACUUCUUUGUGCUGAUGUGGUGAUGCAUGGGAUGUUACAGAGCCAGCCACAGACAUAAUUGACAGCUGGACCCAGCUCCUGUUUAUAAGGUUUAAGUCUACUACCCAUCCGAUAUGGUUAGGCUUUGUGUCGCUGUCCACAUCUUAUCUUGAAUUGUAAUUCUCACAAUCCUCAUAAUCUCCACCUGUCAAGGGAGUGACCAGGUGGAGCUGAACAGAGCAGUUCUGAUUACCUAUUGGCCACUGGAAUCAUGGAAGGGGGAAGAAUCAUGUGCUUCUGAAUGUGUAGAUCUCUUUCAUCUAACGGAAUUGCACCACACCUAAAGUUUUGGUAUCAGGAUGAUGCUGGCUUCAGAAAAUGAGAUAGGAAGAAGUCCUUAGGGACCAAUGGAACAGAACAGAACACUCAGAAAAAUAACACCACACAUCUACAACCAUCUGAUCCUUGACAAACCUGACAAAAACAAGCAAUGGGGAAAUAAUUCCUUAUUUAAUAAAUGGUGUUGGGAAAACUGGCUAGCCAUACGCAGAAAACUGAAACUGGGUCAAUUCCUUAACACAUUAUAUGAAAAUUAACUCAAGAUGGAUUAAAGACUUAAAUGUAUGACAUAAAACCAUAAAAACCCUAGAAGAAAACCUAGGCAAUAUCAUUCAGGACAUAGGCAUGGGCAAAGACUUCAUGACUAAAACACCAAAAGCAAUUGCAGCAAAAAACAAAAUUGACAAAGGGGAUGUAAUUAAAGUAAAGAGCAUCUACACAGCAAAAGAAACUAUCAUCAGAGUGAACAGGCAACAUACAGAAUGGGAGAAAAUUUUUGAAAUCUAUCAAUCUGACAAAGGGUUCAUAUGCAGAAUCUACUGUGAGCUUAAACAAAUUUACAAGAAAAAAGCAAACAACCCUAUCAAAAACUGGGCAAAGGAUAUCUACAGAUACUUCUCAAAGAAGACAUUUAUGCAGCCAACAAACAUGAAAAAAAAAAAGCUCAUCAUCACUGGUCAUUAGAGAAAUGCAAAUCAAAACCACAAUCAGAUACCAUCUCACGCCAGUUAGAAUGGUGAUCAUUAAAAAGUCAGGAAACAACAGAUGCUGGAGAGGAUGUGGAGAAAUAGGAACACUUUUAUACUGUUGGUGGGAGUGUAAAUUAGUUCAACCAUUGUGGAAGACAUUCUGGAGAUUCCUCAAGGAUCUAGAAUCAGAAAUACCGUUUGACCCAGCAAUCCCAAUACUGGAUAUACACCCAAAGGAGUAUAAAUCAUUCUACUAUAAAGACACAUGCAUACAAAUGUUUAUUGCAACACUGUUCACAAUACCAAAGACUUGGAACAAACCCAAAUGCCCAUCAAUGAUAGACUGGAUAAAGAAAAUGUGGCACAUAUACACCAUGGAAUAUUAUGCAGCCAUAAAAAAGGAGAGUUCAUGUUCUUUGAGGGAACAUGGUUGAAGCUGGAAACUAUCAUUCUCAUAAAACUAACACAGAAACAGAACAGCAAACACCACAUGUUCUCACUCAUAGGUGGGACUUGAACAAUGAGAACACAUGGACACUGGGAGUGGAACAUCACACAUCAGAGCCUGUUGAGGGGUUGGAAGCAAGGAGAGGGAGAACAUUAGGCCAAAUACGUAAUGCAUGCUGGGCUUAAAACCUAGAUAAUGGGUUGAUGGCUGCAGCAAACCACGACGGCACAUGUAUACCUACAUAAAAAACCUGCACGUUCUGUACAUGUAUCCCAGAACUUAAAGUAUAAUAAUAAAAAAAAGUUUCACAUGUAAA